CGAGCGAGACCUUCGGGUCUAGCGGCGGACGGGUGAGUAACGCGUGGGAACGUGCCCUUUGCUACGGAAUAGUCCCGGGAAACUGGGUUUAAUACCGUAUGUGCCCUUCGGGGGAAAGAUUUAUCGGCAAAGGAUCGGCCCGCGUUGGAUUAGGUAGUUGGUGGGGUAAUGGCCUACCAAGCCGACGAUCCAUAGCUGGUUUGAGAGGAUGAUCAGCCACACUGGGACUGAGACACGGCCCAGACUCCUACGGGAGGCAGCAGUGGGGAAUCUUAGACAAUGGGGGCAACCCUGAUCUAGCCAUGCCGCGUGAGUGAUGAAGGCCUUAGGGUUGUAAAGCUCUUUCAGCUGGGAAGAUAAUGACGGUACCAGCAGAAGAAGCCCCGGCUAACUCCGUGCCAGCAGCCGCGGUAAUACGGAGGGGGCUAGCGUUGUUCGGAAUUACUGGGCGUAAAGCGCACGUAGGCGGACUGGAAAGUUGGGGGUGAAAUCCCGGGGCUCAACCUCGGAACUGCCUUCAAAACUAUCAGUCUGGAGUUCGAGAGAGGUGAGUGGAA
rnacentral:rRNA from 1 species